rnacentral:rRNA from 1 species
UACAGAGGUCUCAAGCGUUGUUCGGAUUCAUUGGGCGUAAAGGGUGUGUAGGUGGCGCGCUAAGUCGGGGUGUGAAAUUUCGGAGCUUAACUCCGAAACUGCAUUCGAUACUGGCGUGCUUGAGGACUGGAGAGGAGAGUGGAAUUCCUGGUGUAGCGGUGAAAUGCGUAGAGAGUUGGGAAGAACACCGGUGGCGAAAGCGCUCUGCUGGACUGCAACUGACACUCAUGGACGAAAGCUAGGGGAGCGAAUGGG